rfam:Ruegeria pomeroyi DSS-3, complete genome.
CCGCAUGUCCGCCCUGUUGGUGUCCGGGCAACCGGAUGAAAAGGGAAUGCGCCAGCGGUUCCGGGACAUGAUCCCGGGCAGCCGUCAAGCGCAGCCGCCCCCGCGACCGUGACCGGAGAGGGUGCCCAAGCCACUGGCCAAAUGGCCGGGAAGGCGGGACAUCCGCCAGAGCAGCGCUCUGACAUCCGCAAGCCGGGAGACCUGCCAGCACCCGAACUGCAAC